GACGAACGCUGGCGGCGUGCUUAACACAUGCAAGUCGAACGGAAAGGCCCCCUUGUGGGGUACUCGAGUGGCGAACGGGUGAGUAACACGUGAGUAACCUACCCUUGACUUUGGGAUAACUUCAGGAAACUGGGGCUAAUACCGGAUAGGAGCUCCUGCUGCAUGGUGGGGGUUGGAAAGUUUCGGCGGUUGGGGAUGGACUCGCGGCUUAUCAGCUUGUUGGUGGGGUAGUGGCUCACCAAGGCUUUGACGGGUAGCCGGCCUGAGAGGGUGACCGGCCCCAUGGGGCCGGAGUUCCGGCCCGGCCUCCUCCGGGGGGAACCAGGGGGGAUUUUGCCCAACGGGGCGGAGGCCUGAGCCAGCACCCCCGGGUGGGGGAGGGCGGCUUUCGGUUUUGAACCCGCUUUCCCCUGUGACGAAGGGGGAGGGCGGGUAAUGGUGAAAGAAGCCCCGGCAACUUCCGU
rnacentral:rRNA from 1 species